rnacentral:rRNA from 1 species
UGAAGAGUUUGAUCAUGGCUCAGAUUGAACGCUGGCGGCAGGCCUAACACAUGCAAGUCGAACGGUAACAGGAAGCAGCUUGCUGCUUCGCUGACGAGUGGCGGACGGGUGAGUAAUGUCUGGGAAACUGCCUGAUGGAGGGGGAUAACUACUGGAAACGGUGGCUAAUACCGCAUAACGUCGCAAGACCAAAGAGGGGGACCUUCGGGCCUCUUGCCAUCAGAUGUGCCCAGAUGGGAUUAGCUUGUUGGUGAGGUAACGGCUCACCAAGGCGACGAUCCCUAGCUGGUCUGAGAGGAUGACCAGCCACACUGGAACUGAGACACGGUCCAGACUCCUACGGGAGGCAGCAGUGGGGAAUAUUGCACAAUGGGCGCAAGCCUGAUGCAGCCAUGCCGCGUGUAUGAAGAAGGCCUUCGGGUUGUAAAGUACUUUCAGCGGGGAGGAAGGUGUUGUGGUUAAUAAC